rnacentral:rRNA from 1 species
GAACCUGAGAGUUUGAUCCUGGCUCAGAGCGAACGCUGGCGGCAUGCUUAACACAUGCAAGUCGCACGGGCAGCUUCGGCUGUCAGUGGCGGACGGGUGAGUAACGCGUAGGUAUCUAUCCUUGGGUGGGGGACAACCGUGGGA